AUUGAACGCUGGCGGCAGGCUUAACACAUGCAAGUCGAGCGGGGUGAUGGUGCUUGCACUAUCACUUAGCGGCGGACGGGUGAGUAAUGCUUAGGAAUCUGCCUAUUAGUGGGGGACAACAUCUCGAAAGGGAUGCUAAUACCGCAUACGUCCUACGGGAGAAAGCAGGGGAUCACUUGUGACCUUGCGCUAAUAGAUGAGCCUAAGUCGGAUUAGCUAGUUGGUGGGGUAAAGGCCUACCAAGGCGACGAUCUGUAGCGGGUCUGAGAGGAUGAUCCGCCACACUGGGACUGAGACACGGCCCAGACUCCUACGGGAGGCAGCAGUGGGGAAUAUUGGACAAUGGGGGGAACCCUGAUAUAGCCAUGCCGCGUGUGUGAAGAAGGCCUUAUGGUUGUAAAGCACUUUAAGCGAGGAGGAGGCUCUUUUGGUUAAUACCCAAGAUGAGUGGACGUUACUCGCAGAAUAAGCACCGGCUAACUCUGUGCCAGCCGCCGCAGUAA
rnacentral:rRNA from 1 species